AUGAGUACGGCCAAGUGAAGGUGAUGGACAGGUCAUGCUCUCGCCUCAACCCGCGACACGGCUUAGAGGCGGAGCCGGGAGGCGUCAUCUCGAACAUCUUUUCCCGUGAUCCAGUGCGGCGAAAGGCGGUAGCACCACUGCAGGAGUAGCACCAGCGACUCCAUCCGGGUGCUGUAUCGGCUGGGUCACCCUGCCGUAGGAAACGGUCGCGGACCGCCACAGGACUUUGUGAGUGGAGGGAGGCUGGGAUCGGGGGGGAGGCAACCUUUCGCAAGGGGGCGGGUGCUAAUUUCCUGCUCUCACUUACUCUCCCCCUGCGCGGGAAAGGGAAGAGCUGGUUGAAGGGGGGCUGAGUCGAAUUGCGAAGCAGAAACUACCGGCACGUUGUGCCUCACCGUCUCUCCCUACUCUAGCGAAACCUUCCCCCGCGGCUUUCCUCUUCAGACCCCUGCCCCUCCCCCGCUUUCCCUGACAAACCUGAGGCUCCGGGAAGUGCCGCCUACUUGGCUGCUGCUGAUUGGUUGCCUGGCUUCACUUUCUGCUGUGGUUGGCUGAAAGCUCUGCUUGUAUGUGUGACGUCACUUCCCCUAGCAGGUUCGUGCUGGGCAAGGGAGAGACCUUGGCUGGCUGGGGGAAGGGGGUGGGGCGCGAGGUGAUGCUGCGGCGGGGACUCCCAAGCCAGAGGGAAAAGCCCCGCCCCGUCUCUCCAGACACCCCCCCCUCCACACACACACACCCUUUCCCGCCUGCUGCCGGCCGAGUACCGGCGCUGCUGCCUUCCGUCGCUGGUUCUCAGCGCCCCCCCCCCGCAGCUGGAAUGCUGGGCCCCGGGAGCGCUGGGCGGGAGAGGGGAGGAAGGGCCUGCAGCUGGGCGACCCGCGCCGCGUGGUGAUCCCUAGCAGGCACUGGCCCGAGUUCUGCGCGGGGAGGGAAAGGGCGGGCUGCAGCUUCUUGGCAAGCGGCUCUCCUACCACGAGGCGCCUCGUCUCUCCUUCCCGCGCGUUCUCUCUGGCGUUAGACCAAAGCUGCAGCCUCCUGCGCGCUGACUUGGGAGUAAGCCCCGUUGAAUGCGGCGGAGCUCGCUUUUGCGUAAACCAUCCGAAGUGAUCGGGCUGCAAGAGCGCUUCCCUUGAAGUCAAAUGGCGCUUCUUUUGAGACCGGCGGGGAUUGCCAAAUUUCGCCUGCCUGCCUCUGAUCUAAGAACUGCCUGUAUCUUCAUAGAUAGGGAGUGAUUCAGAUGAAGCCUGACCCAUUCCUGCUGAAAAUUUUUAGUGCUGCUGUUCUGAUACAGCUUAACCUCCAAGUUCAAAGCUUCAGAUUUUAAACAUGAUGAUCUGGGAAUAAUGUCUUUAAAUCCACACAGUUCUAUAUUUCUCAUCCAUACUGCUCCUUACUUAUUUUAAGUAUUUUAAUCACCCUCUUUGAAGCAGCCUUUGCAUAGCUGUGCUUCAAAAAUAUGUAUUCGGGGUAUUCACUUGUAAUUUUGAAUUUGAAAAAAGUUGCAAAGAAUUUCAUAUGGCUUUUCUGGAGAAACAUUAAUAUAGACAGAAAAAUACAAUUAUGUACUUGAAGACUGUGAUGACUUGUUUUCUUUUUUAAUACAGCUCUGGAAGCAGAAACCUUAGUCUCAGAUGUGGUAGCCAGAGUUUGCACUGAAUACAGGAAAGUAAUUGGGAGCAAUUUGUGUUUACUUCUGGUUGCUCCUUGACUGCAAGGGUAUUUUAAAGCAGGUUGCUGAACUACUCAAAUAAUCAGAUAUGUGGAAAAACAGGAUUUUGGCUUCGAAUGAUAAGGUAGAAAGUAAAAUAAAAUUUUGAAGAAUAGAAAGACAUCCUUUGAUAGAUCAUAGAAUAAAUGCUGAUUGUUUGACUACCUUGGUAUUGUUGGAUCCAGUCUAUAGUGUUAGACUGCAGCAGAAACCUAUUUUAAGUCUUAGAAUAUUGAUCUCCGUAUAAUUUGACAAGUUUGCUUUGUUACAGAAUAUAUUGAAGUUGUUAGAUGUAUGUUUUACAAAAAAUUUUGAAACACUUCAAAUAACGGGAGAAUGGUGUGCAAGGUAUGUGUACUGCCAUCUCUCAGGCAAAGCAGCAGGUUUGGGCUUAGAAGCUGAGUGGGAGAUUGUGGGAAUUCAUCAAGUACUGAACUCUGUGGGAGGAUGAGGAGUUCAGUUUAGUAUAGCAGUUUUCACAGCAGUUAGAUUAUAAAUUCAAAAUACUUGAGAUGGUGUUUGCAUGUCAAGGUGAAGUUUUGCUGGACAACAUAGUAAGGAUAAUGUGGAGAGGUUUUAGGUCCCAUGUGGCUAAAGGCUUAUGUUGAUAGACUGGCUUGGGUAGUGAUAGGAAAUGGCACAGAGUGACUUGAAAGAAGAUAACCUUUGGAUACAAACAGUGCCAUAAGGAAUUUAUUUAUUAUUUUUUGUUACCCAAGGCUAAUCUUUAAAGUGUGAUUUUAGAUGUGCUUUAGCCUAAGCAGGCAUACGUCCUUUAUUUUUUCACCUUAAACUCAUUUGUGAUUUUUCCACCUGUGAAGUAAUUCAAUCACUGAGCAUAAUUAGCCAGAAUUUGAACAUUCGUACUUGGUGUUGAUUAAAGCAGUAGGGUUAAAACUGUUCUAAAGCCUUCAGUUGAAAUACAGAGAUUUAAAAGCACUUAAUUCUGGCUGUAACUUUGUCACAGUUGAGGACACUUGAAAUUUCAUUACCUCUAGUCCAGCUAAUGCCAUACAGGUAUGAAAGCAAUUGCAGGAGGGGUUGUAUCACAGUGGUAGAGCACAAGCUGUGCAUGUAGAAGGUCCCUGGUUUUUCCCCUAAGGCUAGGAAAGACCCUGCUGUGGAAGAAUACUUCAGUGUGUGUAUUCCUAGUUGCAGGAGGAAGUAUGCACACUUUCCCUAGACUCAAAAGCCUAUCAAGGGCUAGCACUGCUGAUACUAGAGUUCACUGUUGAGUGGGUAUAGUGUUGUAUUGGAAGUCUAAUCUUUUAACUUUCUGUACACCUACAGUUCUUUGUGUUACAGUUUUUCUUUCUUUACCUGUUAGAUAAAAGGACUACUCGGUUGUCCAAUACUAAUUAAUAAACUGGAGCCAGGUGUAGUAACUUACCUAUCUUAGCACUCUAAUAUUUAAUAUAAGCGGAAUUCAUUAGCAAGUCAUUGAAUAUAACUUAUUGAAAUAAAUGUAAGCGCUCAACAAAUUGAGAAGAAAUGUCUGGGAUGACAUUAAAGCAUUUGAGUGUUGCUGUUCUAGUCACAACAAAGGCCCAGUAAACUGAUUCCUGUGCAUGUAUAAUAUAAGAAUGGUGUGACUGAAAAAUCCUAUAGACUUUCAACAGAGAGAACCUGGCAGGUGUGACUGUAUCAGCUGAAAAAAUGUGCCAAAGUGAGGUUGGAGGAGGAAUAGAAUAAGGAAGGAAUUCUGUAGAAUUGUGUUAAUCUGGUUUUUGAAGUUAUUGAAAUGCUUGAAGCUAGUUGUUUCUGUUCUGAGAGUGCUUCUUAGAAUAGGUUUUUAAAGAUUGAAUGUCUUCCUCAGAUGUGUCGCAGUGUAAUGUUUGGUGAUGGGCAAAGAUUUUGUAAAUAUUAAUACCACCUCCUUCUUGAUGGUAGCUUCCACCCCCAUAAAUAAGUCAUAAAAACCCACCAAGUAAGGUUAGCAUAUUGUAUUUUUCUUCUCAACAGUAGAGAGACCUCUCUACAUUGUCUUUCUAUCUUGAUUUACGUUGGCAUCAUUCUGAGCCAGUGUAAGCAAUUGGAAAGCCUGGGAUAGUGCUGUCUAAUGGCCAGGGAUAAGCUAUAGGGCUGAGAGAUUCCUGCCUGCAACCUUGGAGAAGCCACUGCCAGUCUGUGUAGACAAUACUGAGCUAGAUGGACCUAUGGUCUGACUUGGUAUAUGGCCACUUUCUAUCUUCCUAUUUUGGACAUGGACAAAAGUGUUCACCCCAAAUCUCUUUUUUAAAUCAUGGAGAACUUUAUGAAUCAGUUGCAAAAGCCUUUCUAAUACUCAAAAGUAGGGAUGUGCAAAACGUUUCAAGCUCAGAAUGUUCCGACUUGAAAUGGGCCGUUUUGAGUGUUCCAAGCUUGAAACAAAAAACCCUUCAAAAGAAGGGCCUCUCGAGCUCGGAACAACCCUGUUCUGAUGUUGAACAUUUCGAGUGUUCCAAGCACCAUUUUAGAGGGCUGUUCUUUCUGGAAAGAGAUGGUCUACUGUUUGGGAUUGGUGGGUAGACUAGGCCAACCCCCCCGGAAUUAGCACCUCGGCCUGUCUCGGAGGGCUGGUCUACCCACCGACCCCGAUCAGUAGACCAGCGCUCCCCAGAAAGAACUGCACUCCAAAAUGGUGCUUGGAACACUCAAAACAGUCUGAGCUAAUUAUUCUGAAACAACCAGCUCGACUGGUUGUUCCAACGAAACAUUCUAGGGGUUUGCAUUUCAUUUCGAGAAUGAAACACAAAAUCCGUUCCAUACACAUCCCUACUCAAGCCUUCUGUACCAUGGAGACUUCUGGCAUCUUCCAGCAGAGGAGCAAGUAUAAACACUUAAAGUCAAAAUUUAGAUGGUUUAGAUUCUUUAUACCAAGUUAAAAUACUUUAAUAUACCACUGACUUGAAUGGAUUGAGAUUUAAGAGCAUAGUAUUCAAAGGAUUCCUCUUAAUUUGCAAUAUUCUUCCUUGCCUGUCUAACUUCUAUCUCUUCUUGCAGUGCAAUUGUGCACCUACAUGACUUCUUCAGGAUGUAGAAAAAACCUUGCUCUGCAUAUAACUAGUGUCAUGGAUGUACUCAGUUUUAAUCUCCAAAGCAUCUGCCUUCAAACAUCCUGAUGUUAAUAAUCACUCCUGGUAUAUCUCUGUUUUGUGACAAGGUUCCAGUUGUGGUUUUUUGUUUGUGUGUGUGGGGGGGGGAUUUGUGUUUGUGUUUCUUGAAGAGCAGUCUGCAUGGCAAGACUCUUGUGAAACUGAGUGGACUUUUAAAAGUUGGGGGAAUAUGAAGACCUACAGUUUAAACAUCUAUAUAGUUAAAUGCCAUUUGGCAUCACCCAAGCCCUUAGGCAUAUUUCAAGUAGCACUUUUACUUCCUAGUAGGUGUACAUAUUCCAUACCUGGUAAUAUGCCCCUCCGGUGAAAAGCUUUCAUGUUUUGUGUUUGAAAGUUGAAGUUAAAUUAAAAUGAAGUGAAACAGUUCUUGAGUAGAACAUCUUAUUCAAGUGUCAUGCAGUGAUAUUCUGUUUGUUAACAGAAGACACUCAAUGUAUGUUGAUUUUUGGUCCCAUUUUCAAUUGUAGCAUUCAUGUCCUCAGUUCGUUGCAUAUUGAUGUAACUAGAGAAGCUAUAGUUUUAAAUAUAUACUUAUUAUUUGUCAGUUACAGGGAGCAAUGUGUGUGUGACUGUGCGCACAACUCCUGUGCUUGUGGUUGCAAGCAUGAUUUGUCCCCUUAGCUAAGCAAGAUCUGCCCUGGUUGCAUAUGAAUGGGAGACUAGAAGUGUGAGCACUGUAAGAUAUUCCCCUUGGGAUGGAGCCGCUCUGGGAAGAGCAGAAUGUUCCAAGUUCCCUCCCUGGCAUCUCCAAGAUAGGGCUGAAAGAGAUUCCUGCCUGCAACCUUGGAGAAGCUGCUGCCAGUCUGAAGACAAUACUGAGCUAGAUAGACCAAUGGUCUGACUCAGUAUGUGGCAGCUUCCUAUGUUCUUAAGUAAAACGUUGCAUUAGUAAGUUCUGACAGUCACAAAAUUUUGUGUACUGGGAUUAUCACUACCUAUGUGAAUGCUGACUUUUGCCAAAUGUUGAUAUUCAGUUAACACAGAUGUGUCUUGUAAAAAGCAGUGCUUACCAGUAAACUGCAUCAUUCUUCACAGUAUGGGUUAACAUGACAUUUGGCAUUUUACUCUGUUGAGAUUGUAGUGAUGUGCUUAGGCUUCUUUAGAAGGGUUUUAACAAAUGUUUCCUCCUCUUUUUAGGUUUCAGCAUGGAGCAGGAUGAAGAAUACUGUAACUUGUUCUUGUGGCUGAGGUUUGCUGUCCUGAGAACAAAAGCUCAGCAAUUCUUGUAUAUAAACUAUUGUUUGGGAGGACAAAGCUUUUGCAAAAAACUCUUUUAAAUGACAAAACUUGAAUGUUUUGAGAGUUAACCUUUGCAGCUUUUUAAUCUUGAUUUUGAAAACUAUUGCCAUCUGUUAAGUGAAGAUACCUGCACUGUGGGAUGAGGUAGUAGGUUGUAUAGUUUUAGGGUCACACCCACCACUGGGAGAUAACUAUACAGUCUACUGUCUUUCCUAAAGAGGCAGACGGUCAGCAGCGACAACUUUGACUUAAAUACUGGAGUUAUUGGUUUCAUUAGCUUAAAAGGAAGGUUUAAAAUAGACUGUGGACAACAGGGUGUUUCCAAAACUUAACUUUGCUUCUUGGGUAAUUCAGAAGGCUCACUGGGCAAGGAAGCUCCUAUUGCCGUACUGCCCAUCACCUUCAAAAGCAGAUUCUUGGAUGGAAAACUAACUGAAAAUGGAACUUUCUCUCUCGUAAUUUUUCUCUAAUCAGGUUGAGGUAGUAGAUUGUAUAGUUGUAGGGCAGUUAUUUUGCCCUCUUCAGGAGAUAACUAUACAAUCUAUUGCCUUCCCUGAGGAGUAAAAAGUCUGCAAUCCUGUUCUCGCUAUGUUACUAAGAGCAUAAACUGGAUUUCUGUUCAUAGUAAAUCUGUUUGCAUGCAAGUAGUAUAACUGGAUAAUGCUACUUAAUUUAAUGCUAAAAAAUGUUGCCCUGAAAACAUGCUUGAUGGGCAAGACUACAGUUCAGUGCUGUUGUGUCUAUUUGUGCUUUUCUGUCACUUGAAUAUUGAGAAGAAACCUGAUCUACUGCUGCUAGGAAUAGUUUCACAGUUUUGUCUACACACACACACACACACACACACAGAGCCGUGUACAAAUAUUCUGAUAACUCUUUCAGUGGGAUUCUCCCACUUGUUGGAGCGGGUGGAUGAUCCAGGUUUGACAUGAUUCACGAUGAUCUUGAGUGACUACAUUUGGAAAAUGCCCUUUAAAAGCAUUCCUUUGUGUUUGAGUUGCAUGGGGGUAUGGUGAAGUGUGUGUGUACUGAUCACUGUUUUAAACUAAUCCCUGUUUUAAAUACUAAACACUGUACUCGCUGAAAUCAUGUUAACUCUGCCCAAAAUUAUAAGCUCUGCCUUUGUACUUAAGUGCACAUGUACAUUUUGAUAUAUUCAGUUGAUCUUUCACUACAGCCCUUUUUUUGGGGUAAAGAAUUGCAGAAGACAUGCUGGGUUCCUAGGAAGAGGUAGUAGGUUGCAUAGUUUUAGGGCAGUGGUUUUGCCCACAAGGAGUUAACUAUACAACCUGCUGCCUUUCUUAGGGCUUUAAUAUUACAACAGGAUCAUAGUGGCUCAGCCCAAAUCUUCUUCUUUCACUAGGGAAUGGCAUAAAGUUUGCCAGAUCACUAGAAAAGACUUCAGGUGGCCUGAGGAAACCAGGUCUUGGGAAUGUCUUGCAACCAGUCGAAUUUCUCUCUCACUCUCUUGCUAAGAGUUCUUUGUUAGAGUACUUUAGACACUCUCCAUAGUAGCUGGAAGGCCCAGCUUUCCAGCCUGGCCUUUAAUAAAUACUAACUGUUUUUGAGUUUUAUCUGGUUCUAUAUUUGUGAACUGCCUAGAGCCAUCUGGGCGAGGCAGUAUAAAAAUAAGUGAAUAAAUAAAAGCUUGCUUCCAGCCUAGGGGAAAGUGGGUUUAGCUCUUGUCUAACAAGCUACAUUGUAAAGCAGAAAAACUCAGAGGUCCAUCCUGUUUCCUGUCUUAUGUUACCUUGUCUAAGCACCAGUGUUCCCUCUCUUUCACUGUGCGCAGAAUGAGUUUUGUUCUGAGUGGCAGUAUCAAAACAAUAUGUGAACACAUACAUUCAAAAUGAGGUCUUCCUGAUUCAAUCUGAGCAGGAUCUAAAAUUAACAGAGCAGACAUAAAAAUACUUUGUGCAUGCUUAUGUCUUAGAGCUAAGCACCCUUUGUUGGAUAAAACUGGAAAAUAUGGAAAUCGCACCAGAAGGCCCUUUAAUGUUUUUCUGUGCGUCUACAGUAUUAAAAGGUUGGUGUGCAGAGA